rnacentral:rRNA from 1 species
AGAGUUUGAUCCUGGCUCAGAACGAACGCUGGCGGCGUGGAUAAGACAUGCAAGUCGAACGAGGCUAGCUCGGUAGCAAUACCGGGUUGGCUUAGUGGCGAACGGGUGCGUAACACGUGACCAACCUUCCCAAAAGUGGGGAAUAGCUCGCCGAAAGGCGAAUUAAUACCGCAUGUACCUCAAAGCAAUUUGAGGCAAAG